rnacentral:rRNA from 1 species
UACGGAGGGGGCUAGCGUUGUUCGGAAUUACUGGGCGUAAAGCGCACGUAGGCGGCUUUGUAAGUUAGAGGUGAAAGCCCGGGGCUCAACUCCGGAAUUGCCUUUAAAACUGCAUCGCUAGAACGUCGGAGAGGUGAGUGGAAUUCCGAGUGUAGAGGUGAAAUUCGUAGAUAUUCGGAAGAACACCAGUGGCGAAGGCGACUCACUGGACGACUGUUGACGCUGAGGUGCGAAAGCGUGGGGAGCAAACAGGA